rnacentral:rRNA from 1 species
UACGAAGGGGGCUAGCGUUGCUCGGAAUUACUGGGCGUAAAGGGCGCGUAGGCGGACAGUUUAGUCAGAGGUGAAAGCCCAGGGCUCAACCUUGGAAUUGCCUUUGAUACUGGCUGUCUUGAGUUCGGGAGAGGUGAGUGGAACUGCGAGUGUAGAGGUGAAAUUCGUAGAUAUUCGGAGGAACACCAGUGGCGAAGGCGGCUCACUGGCUCGGUACUGACGCUGAGGUGCGAAAGCGUGGGGAGCAAACAGG